UCUACUCUUCCAUCGAAUGGUCUGUCUUACAGUCCCCCCUUCCUCUGCUUCUCCACCUAUCAACACACUAUUUCUUGGGACGCCCGACUGCCUGCCACAUCUGAAAUUGCUCUCCUUCUAUCACCCUACCAUCGUGUUCCUGUCUAGGUUCGCAGUUUUGAAGGAUGUACAGGUCAGAAGAUAGAGAGAUCUGCCAUUCGAUCAUUCGAUCAUUCAAACCUGCAAGUCGUUUCAUUCUUUUGGGAUUGCUUCGAGUCGAGCGUUCCUGGGUGGGGAGUGAUAGGUGGAGAAUCAGAAAAACGGGCGUCAGACAAACCAUUAGAUUGGACAGUAGA